rnacentral:rRNA from 1 species
UACAGAGGGGGCAAGCGUUGUUCGGAAUUACUGGGCGUAAAGGGCGCGUAGGCGGCCUUCUAAGUCGAACGUGAAAUCCCCAGGCUUAACCUGGGAACUGCGUCUGAUACUGGAUGGCUUGAAUUCGGGAGAGGGAUGCAGAAUUCCAGGUGUAGCGGUGAAAUGCGUAGAUAUCUGGAGGAAUACCGGUGGCGAAGGCGGCAUCCUGGACCGAGAUUGACACUGAUGAGCGAAAGCUAGGGGAGCAAACGGG